rnacentral:rRNA from 1 species
GUAAUCCACGCCGUAAACGAUGUCGACUUGGAGGUUGUUCCCUUGAGGAGUGGCUUCCGGAGCUAACGCGUUAAGUCGACCGCCUGGGGAGUACGGCCGCAAGGUUAAAACUCAAAUGAAUUGACGGUGGCCCGCACAAGCGGUGGAGCAUGUGGUUUAAUUCGAUGCAACGCGAAGAACCUUACCUACUCUUGACAUCCACGGAAUUUAGCAGAGAUGCUUUAGUGCCUUCGGGAACCGUGAGACAGGUGCUGCAUGGCUGUCGUCAGCUCGUGUUGUGAAAUGUUGGGUUAAGUCCCGCAACGAGCGCAACCCUUAUCCUUUGUUGCCAGCGGGUUAUGCCGGAACUCAAAGGAGACUGCCAGUGAUAAACUGGA